rnacentral:tRNA from 1 species
CGGCACAUAGCUCAGUUGGUCAGAGCACCGUUCUUGUAAAGCGGAGGUCUACGGUUCAAAUCCGUAUGUGCUAA